AUGUUUGUCAAGUCAACCAGUGUGGUUUUUCCCUCAACUCUUCUCAAACAUUCUCUUCUCUUCUCAACCAUUCUCUUCUCUUCUCAACCAUUCUCUUCUCUUCUCAACCAUUCUCUUCUCUUCUCAACCAUUCUCUUCUCUUCUCAAACAUUCUCUUCUCUUCUCAACCUCUUCUCUUCUCUUCUCAACCUCUUCUCUUCUCUUCUCAACCUCUUCUCUUCUCUUCUCAACCAUUUCUCUUCUCUUCUCUUCUCAACCAUUUCUCUUCUCUUCUCUUCUCAACCAUUUCUCUUCUCUUCUCUUCUCAACCAUUUCUCUUCUCUUCUCUUCUCAACCAUUUCUCUUCUCUUCUCUUCUCAACCAUUUCUCUUCUCUUCUCUUCUCAACCAUUUCUCUUCUCUUCUCUUCUCAACCAUUUCUCUUCUCUUCUCUUCUCAACCAUUUCUCUUCUCUUCUCUUCUCAACCAUUUCUCUUCUCAACCUCUUCUCUUCUCUUCUCAACCUCUUCUCUUCUCUUCUCUUCUCUUCUCUUCUCAACCAUUUCUCUUCUCUUCUCUUCUCAACCAUUUCUCUUCUCUUCUCUUCUCAACCAUUUCUCUUCUCUUCUCUUCUCAACCAUUUCUCUUCUCUUCUCUUCUCAACCAUUUCUCUUCUCUUCUCUUCUCAACCAUUUCUCUUCUCUUCUCUUCUCAACCAUUUCUCUUCUCUUCUCUUCUCAACCAUUUCUCUUCUCAACCAUUUCUCUUCUCAACCAUUUCUCUUCUCUUCUCAACCAUUUCUCUUCUCUUCUCAACCAUUUCUCUUCUCUUCUCAACCAUUUCUCUUCUCUUCUCUUCUCAACCAUUUCUCUUCUCUUCGACCUUUUGCCUGUACACAACUCUUCUCUUCUCUUCGACCUUUUGCCUGUACACAACUCUUCUCUUCUCUUCUCAACCAUUUCUCUUCUCUUCUCUUCUCAACCAUUUCUCUUCUCUUCGACCUUUUGCCUGUACACAACUCUUCUCUUCUCUUCUCAACCAUUCUCUUCUCUUCGACCUUUUGCCUGUACACAACCAUUCUCUUGCCUACCACUUUUUGGAUUAA
rnacentral:lncRNA from 8 species